rnacentral:ncRNA from 13 species
AGCGGGGUACGCGACUGGCGAUAGGCCUGACCCUGGUUGACGCAACCGGGCGCUCGGGCUGACGUGGACCACCGCAGCCGCCUUCCGGCACAACACCGGCAAGACGCCCUCCGGGCAACCACUGGGAAGCGUACCACCCGCACCGCAUGGCACAGCCAGCAGACGAGUGAUCAGCCGUUCGCCUGGGCAGCACCC